rnacentral:lncRNA from 1 species
GGUGGCGUGUGGUGAUGAGUGAUGGUGUGUUGAGUCUCCUCCCGCCCAUCUCAGCUUCGUAAGUGACGACGCCAGUCGAGUAGCGAGAUAUAAGGAGACGAGGAAACUACCUUAUUCUGAUUUUAAGUACAUAGGACUGUUGACUGUCGUGUGAUUCCUUCAGCGGAAGGUCUGACGUGGACCUUCACACAAGCUGCUAUGUUGAAGUUACUCCAGACUUCAAGUAAACAAGGAAGUUCUUCUCCGUGGCACAGAAAACGGAGUAAAGAUUCUUGCAAGAUAUCAUUGAUACAAAUGUGACCCUUACCGACACCAGCCAGAAGACAGUGUUGACAAUCUACUACAAGAACAAGAAGAUCGCUAACUUUAUCAUGCAGAACUCUUCCGACACCAAGUGAAACGCCUUGUAAGAGACAAAUGGCAAUACCUUCAUAAGGCCAGUUAGGGACUUUCAGCCUAAACGCUUGCAGUAUAUAGGCAAGGCAAAAACAUCUCUUUCAAGGGUCCUGGUUAAGCACAAACAGCAAGGCUCCUUCAAAGACAUCUUCACAUCUACGACAACCAGAGCAACAAUACCGAAAUAAUCGGUGGAUACAAGAAGCAGUGGUCACGACGACAUGGGUCCUCUGGGGACCCUCCUGCUGCUGCUCCUACUGUUGCCUGUGCUCCUCGCUCUCAACCACCUCGUCAGCAGCAACUGCAAACUCAAGACUGCUAAUUGGAUUAGAAGGAGAAGACGAAAGAGAAAAAUUAAAUACGAAAAAAAGUCGAAGAAAGUCCAAGACGCUACAGCAAGAUGGUCGUGACGAACAUGAACCAUAUGAAUAUUUGUGUCUUAGGCAUUAUUAUUAGGAUUAAUAUAAUUAUUAUUCAAAUUAUUUUCAUAUGUAAUUUGUACUGGGUUUAAGUUCUGUCAAAUGUGAAAGGGCUAUUAUAUAAGGCCAUCACAAUAGUUUGCUGAUCAGCCACCAUGUAUGCUGUAGUCCUGGAAAUAAUUCUGGCUCGUAGAAAGCUCUGUUAGUACGUCAAUAACUGGCGUACACCUCUUGGUGAAUAUAAGUCAGUGCUUGUCGUGUCUAGUGGAGUUCAUGGGCCUCCAUUAGACACCACUGUCUAAUGGACGCCCAAAACAUAAGACUCAGUUUAAUCCUCUGAAGGAUUAUUAAAGACCUUGGCACGAGCCUAAUGUCAACAAAGUAUACUUAUGAAUAUACUUAGAGUAUAUUCUAUGGAGAAUAUACUCCAUAGCUAAAGUAAACUCAAUGUAUAUGCACUGUGAAGCGGUGUACAGUUUUCAGUGUAAAUAUCCUUGUAUGUUUGGUUUGGUGUUGGGCUUAAGGCUUGUCAACACCAGGAGAGUUAUUAAAGACACCACAAGAGCUAUACUGAGUGGGUUGGGUGGUGGCUGAGGGGACAGCGCUCUAGACUCAUGGACCUAGUACCAGAGUUCGAUCCCCCGGCACCGCCGGAAAAACAAAUGGGCGGUUUCCUUCACCCUGGUGCCCCUAUUACCUAGCAAUAAAUAAUAACCUGAGAGUAAAACAGCUGCUGCGGGCUGCUUCCUGGGUGUGUAUGUUGGGGGGGGGGUAGUUAGUAACAGUUGAUUGAUUGACAGUUGAGAGGUGGGCCGAGUGUUUGGUAUACAUAGCGUUACAUACAGUGCCUUGUGUUGAUUUGUGUAUGUCAAUGUUCCAGGAAUUGUUCUCUGAACUGCAAUUAUUUCAUAUACGUGUAAUAAAAAUAUUUAUAUCAAUUGAUUGGUUUGAUGUGGGGCUCAGCCUAAGGCCAAUCAACCUGUCUAGGGUUAUG